rnacentral:rRNA from 1 species
CCCUUAGAUGUUCUGGGCCGCACGCGCGCUACACUGAUGCAUUCAACAAGUUUUACCUUGGCCGAGAGGCCUGGGAAAUCUUUCAAAUAUGUAUCGUGAUAGGGAUAGAUUAUUGCAAUUAUUAAUCUUGAACGAGGAAUUCCUAGUAAAUGCAGAUCAUCAUUCUGCGUUGAUUACGUCCCUGCCCUUUGUACACACCGCCCGUCGCACCUACCGAUUGAAUGAUCCGGUGAAGCCUCGGGAUUGUGCCCAGAGAACUUUAUUGUGAUUUGGGUGUGAGACCUUGUCUAAACCUUAUCAUUUAGAGGAAGGUGAAGUCGUAACA